rnacentral:rRNA from 1 species
GCGGCAGGCUUAACACAUGCAAGUCGAGGGGCAGCGGGGAGGAAGCUUGCUUUCUCCGCCGGCGACCGGCGCACGGGUGAGUAACACGUAUGCAACCUGCCCCUGUCAGGGGGACAACCCGCCGAAAGGCGGGCUAAACCCGCGUACAUGCCACCGGGGCAUCCCGGAGGCAGGAAAGGCUUCGGCCGGACAGGGAUGGGCAUGCGGCGCAUUAGGCAGUAGGCGGGGUAACGGCCCACCUAACCGACGAUGCGUAGGGGUUCUGAGAGGAAGGUCCCCCACACUGGUACUGAGACACGGACCAGACUCCUACGGGAGGCAGCAGUGAGGAAUAUUGGUCAAUGGUCGGGAGACUGAACCAGCCAAGCCGCGUGAGGGAGGAAGGUACAGAGUAUCGUAAACCUCUUUUGUCAGGGAACAAAGACUGGGACGCGUCCCCGGAUGAGUGUACCUGAAGAAAAAGCAUCGGCUAACUCCGUGCCAGCAGCCGCGGUAAUACGGAGGAUGCGAGCGUUAUCCGGAUUUAUUGGGUUUAAAGGGUGCGCAGGCGGUCUGUUAAGUCAGCGGUCAAAGCCCGGGGCUCAACCCCGGCCCGCCGUUGAAACUGGCAGUCUCGAGUUGGAGAGAAGUAUGCGGAAUGCGCGGUGUAGCGGUGAAAUGCAUAGAUAUCGCGCAGAACUCCGAUUGCGAAGGCAGCAUGCCGGCUCCACACUGACGCUGAGGCACGAAAGCGUGGGUAUCGAACAGGAUUAGAUACCCUGGUAGUCCACGCAGUAAACGAUGAAUGCUGGCUGUCCGGGGGGACUGACCCCUGGGUGGCGAAGCGAAAGCGAUAAGCAUUCCACCUGGGGAGUACGCCGGCAACGGUGAAACUCAAAGGAAUUGACGGGGGCCCGCACAAGCGGAGGAACAUGUGGUUUAAUUCGAUGAUACGCGAGGAACCUUACCCGGGCUCAAACGGGGAGUGCCGCAGGCAGAGACGCCUGUUUCCCACGGGACACUCCCCGAGGUGCUGCAUGGUUGUCGUCAGCUCGUGCCGUGAGGUGUCGGCUUAAGUGCCAUAACGAGCGCAACCCCCGCGUGCAGUUGCUAACAGAUAACGCUGAGGACUCUGCACGGACUGCCGGCGCAAGCCGCGAGGAAGGCGGGGAUGACGUCAAAUCAGCACGGCCCUUACGUCCGGGGCGACACACGUGUUACAAUGGGUGGUACAGCGGGAAGCCAGGCGGCGACGCCGAGCGGAACCCGAAAUCCACUCUCAGUUCGGAUCGGAGUCUGCAACCCGACUCCGUGAAGCUGGAUUCGCUAGUAAUCGCGCAUCAGCCAUGGCGCGGUGAAUACGUUCCCGGGC